UACAGAGGACGCGAACGUUGAUCGGAAUUACUGGCCGUAAAGCGCGUGUAGGCGGAUUCGUAAGCCAGAUGUGAAAUCCCCAGGCUCAACCUGGGAACUGCAUCUGGAACUGUGAGUCUAGAGUGCCGGAGAGGGUGGCAGAAUUCCUGGUGUAGAGGUGAAAUUCGUAGAUAUCAGGAGGACCACCGGUGGCGGAGGCGGCCACCUGGACGGCAACUGUCGCUGAGACGCGAAAGCGUGGGGAGCAAACAGG
rnacentral:rRNA from 1 species